rnacentral:rRNA from 1 species
GACGAACGCUGGCGGCGUGCCUAACACAUGCAAGUCGAGCGAAUGAAGUUCCUUCGGGAAUGGAUUUAGCGGCGGACGGGUGAGUAACACGUGGGCAACCUGCCUCAUAGAGGGGAAUAGCCUCCCGAAAGGGAGAUUAAUACCGCAUAAGAUUGUAGUACCCCAGAAACAGCAAAUAAAGGAGCAAUCCGCUAUGAGAUGGGCCCGCGGCGCAUUAGCUAGUUGGUGAGGUAAUGGCUCACCAAGGCGACGAUGCGUAGCCGACCUGAGAGGGUGAUCGGCCACAUUGGGACUGAGACACGGCCCAGACUCCUACGGGAGGCAGCAGUGGGGAAUAUUGCACAAUGGGGGAAACCCUGAUGCAGCAACGCCGCGUGAGUGAUGACGGCCUUCGGGUUGUAAAGCUCUGUCUUCAGGGACGAUAAUGACGGUACCUGAGGAGGAAGCCACGGCUAACUACGUG